UUGAUUCUAAAACUGCCAAUUCCAUAAGCAAAGCCUAAUAGAAAUGGCUGAAGGACGAUACAAAUGAGUAAAUGAAUAGUACCAAACUAUUAAAGAAUCCCCAAUUAAUCGGGGAUGUCAAUUGAAUAAGACUUCAUAUAUUACACAACAUCCUUGGUGGGAUCAAUAAGGAGCAGAGUUCAUGCCUAGCUGAUGAAUCGAACCUAACAUUUGGCAAGGGAGUUCUCAUUCUAAGACACACUUGACACCAACAAGCCAAGACGCAGUAUGGUAUUUAAACGAAUUUGGUGGACAAAUGAGCCGAAACUCGAAAGAUUUUCCAUCUCUCACUCUCCACACACUUUAUGAGGCUGAUUGCCAUUUCGGGAAAAAGAGUCCUCACCCCACAUAACUGACCUUGGCAGUGAAAAUGGACCGGGCGCAUCGUCGUCCC
rnacentral:lncRNA from 1 species